GACGAACCGUGCAAACGUUGUUCGGAUUCACUGGGCUUAAAGGGCGCGUAGGCGGCUUGCCAAGUCAGGGGUGAAAUCGUUCGGCUCAACCGGACAAUUGCUUCUGAUACUGGUGAGCUGGAGUGAGGUAGGGGCAGAUGGAACUUCCGGUGGAGCGGUGAAAUGCGUAGAUAUCGGAAGGAACGCCGGUGGCGAAAGCGAUCUGCUGGACCUCGUCUGACGCUGAGGCGCGAAAGCCAGGGGAGCAAAC
rnacentral:rRNA from 1 species